rnacentral:lncRNA from 1 species
ACAAGACAAAAGUAGGUGGCCUGUCCCUGGAACUUCCUUGAGAAUCCUGACCUCAGGUAGCGAAUUUCUAUUGUACUUUGUUAUCAGAAUCUAAUAAAAUUUGUAUGCUUUUCUUUGAGUGAAGAGAACUGGAAUAGGAUCAGGUUCGUUUUGGAUAGGAGCACAACAGAUGCCCAAGCACUUUGCAAGUCUCAAUUGGAUUGAAAUGUGCUGGAGAUUGAAAUAGUACCUGCUUUACUAGUUUGGGACCUGACAUGAUGAUCAUGAGCCUUCAAAAGGGUGAUCUGCAACUCUGAACCAUAGCCCUGAGAACAGCAUACCAUGAUUUGGAAGAUCCAAAGAAACAAGAAAGAUGGUGAACAGAACACAAUAUUUUAGGCUCAUGCCAUGAACCACGAUGAACAUGCACCGGCGAUCUCCAUAUAUUUUAGAUGGUUAUAUAUCUCACAAUCUCUCAUACAAAAACACAACUUUCUCUGUCAGUAAUUCUUAUUUACAAUUCCUGACAUGUUUGCAGUGUAUGCACAAGCUCACGCUCUUCACUCCCAAAACCGCAACCUUUGAUCACAUCAGAAAUCAAGCAAGCAUCAUCAUCAAUUCAACAUUCAUCCUGCAGC